GAAAGGCUAUCUAUGCAGGUCUCUCGCUUGAUCGAAAUGCAGACACCUUUAUACCUUGAAGGAGUUCAUUCUCUUCAUCCUUAUUUCCGGAACAGCACCAAGAAUAUGUAGAUUAUCUAACUUGUUGAGAGAAACAAAACCAUUUGAUCUACAGGGUUUCUUUCAACAUUGGGUAUAUAAGAAUGCAUAUUCUUUUUCUAUCAUCUUCUAUUCAUUAGAUUAUGUUGAGAUUAAAAUAAAUCAAUUUUACAUUCUUAAUGGGUAUCUAUGCUGAAAUUGUCUUUGUGAGAUCUGAUAACACGAAUAAAAAUGCAUUGAUUCAUUUCUCACCAACAUGACUAUAUUGCCUUAUGAAGCAUCUCUCCACUUUAGUUUUGUUUAUACUGGCUCUAGAUUAAACUAUGCAUAUUCUUGGAAGAUCAUGUGUGCAAGUGACAAAC
rnacentral:lncRNA from 1 species